rnacentral:lncRNA from 1 species
AUCAAUCAGGGAUACCCAUGCUGGACUUCGAAUAAAGAUUAAACUCCAGGUCUGAGAGCCAGAUAACAGCCCUCCUCAAGAUAACCAGUCAAGUUUGGCACUCCAGGCCCUGAGCCAUUUUGGUCCACCCUGCUUUGACCCCACCCCUUGUCCACAUCAGCUCCUGUGAAGGCACCCCAGAAGAAAACCACUAUUCGUUCACAUUGGCUGAUUGAUGCUCCAUACGUCCAAACCUUCCAGUCCUCAAGAAACAAGUAUGGCUGAGUUCUGGGUAAAAGUGGAGAACAUGACCCUCUCCUCACUCUGUGCCAUGUUUUAUAUAAGAAAUAAAUUAAAAGUAUAUGAAAACACA